GAUGAACGCUGGCGGCGUGCCUAAUACAUGCAAGUCGAGCGAAGGGAUUAAGAGCUUGCUCUUAUGAAGUUAGCGGCGGACGGGUGAGUAACACGUGGGUAACCUGCCCAUAAGACUGGGAUAACUCCGGGAAACCGGGGCUAAUACCGGAUAACAUUUUGAACCGCAUGGUCCGACAUGGAAAGGCGGCUCCGGCUGUCACUUAUGUAUGGACCCGCGUCGCAUUAGCUAGUUGGGGAGGUAACGGGUCACCAAGGCAACGAUGCGUAGCCGACCUGGGAGGGUGAUCGGCCACACUGGGACUGAGACACGGCCCAGACUCCUACGGGAGGCAGCAGUAGGGAAUCUUCCGCAAUGGACGAAAGUCUGACGGAGCAACGCCGCGUGAGUGAUGAAGGCUUUCGGGUCGUAAAACUCUGUUGUUAGGGAAGAACAAGUGCUAGUUGAAUAAGCUGGCACCUUGACGGUACCUAACCAGAAAGCCACGGCUAACUACGUGCCAGCCGCCGCCGUAA
rnacentral:rRNA from 1 species